AAAAAUUCUAAAGAAACUAUUUGAUGCAAAGUUUCUUAUCGCUAUUAAAUAUUAAAAUAAAAUAAAGAUUAAAGAAUCUUAAGAAAGUAUUUCGAACUUAAUAUUAUUACAAAUAUAUAUUACAAGAAAAUAGCAAAAACAAAUCUCUUUGUUCAAAACUCUACAGACUAUAAGAAUAUUCCACAACAAUUGCCAUAAUAUACACAUCGUUUGUAUGGUUGAAUGUACACACUUGAAUGUAUUUAAAUGGAAGGGUAAAGGGGUACAACCAUCCUUUUUUACAUUAAACGCCUACUAUCGAGAUAAGUCAUUAAACCCGACUGUUUGACCAUUUAAAUUCACAGCUCUAGCAGUUAUUUUGUUUUUCAUUCUUCAGAUGGUUGGUCUUGAAUUCUGGAUGAAAAAAACUUACCUCACUUGGUGACAUUGAUGACAUUUUUCUGGUAAAUUUUCUUAAAAUUUUAAACACUAUUUUGUAUUCACA